GACGAACGCUGGCGGCGUGCCUAAUACAUGCAAGUAGAACGCUGAAGAGAGGAGCUUGCUCUUCUUGGAUGAGUUGCGAACGGGUGAGUAACGCGUAGGUAACCUGCCUUGUAGCGGGGGAUAACUAUUGGAAACGAUAGCUAAUACCGCAUAACAAUGGAUGACACAUGUCAUUUAUUUGAAAGGGGCAAUUGCUCCACUACAAGAUGGACCUGCGUUGUAUUAGCUAGUAGGUGAGGUAAUGGCUCACCUAGGCGACGAUACAUAGCCGACCUGAGAGGGUGAGCGGCCACACUGGGACUGAGACACGGCCCAGACUCCUACAGGAGGCAGCAGUAGGGAAUCUUCGGCAAUGGGGGCAAACCUGACCGAGCAACGCCGCGUGAGGGAAGAAGGGUUUCGGAUCGUAAAGCUCUGUUGUAAGUCAAGAACGGGUGUGAGGGUGGAAAGUUCACACUGUGACGGUAGCUGACCAGAAAGGAACGGCUAACUACGUG
rnacentral:rRNA from 1 species